rnacentral:rRNA from 1 species
AGUGGGGAAUAUUGCACAAUGGGCGAAAGCCUGAUGCAGCCAUGCCGCGUGUGUGAAGAAGGCCUUCGGGUUGUAAAGCACUUUCAGCGAGGAGGAAAGGUUAACGGUUAAUACCCGUUAGCUGUGACGUUACUCGCAGAAGAAGCACCGGCUAACUUCGUGCCAGCAGCCGCGGUAAUACGAGGGGUGCAAGCGUUAAUCGGAAUUACUGGGCGUAAAGCGUACGCAGGCGGUUUGUUAAGCGAGAUGUGAAAGCCCCGGGCUCAACCUGGGAACUGCAUUUCGAACUGGCAAACUAGAGUCUUGUAGAGGGGGGUAGAAUUUCAGGUGUAGCGGUGAAAUGCGUAGAGAUCUGAAGGAAUACCGGUGGCGAAGGCGGCCCCCUGGACAAAGACUGACGCUCAGGUACGAAAGCGUGGGGAGCAAA